rnacentral:rRNA from 1 species
UACGUAGGGUGCGAGCGUUUAAUCGGAAUUACUGGGCGUAAAGCGUGCGCAGGCGGUGAUGUAAGACAGGUGUGAAAUCCCCGGGCUUAACCUGGGAACUGCAUUUGUGACUGCAAGGCUGGAGUUUGGCAGAGGAGACUGGAAUUCCUGGUGUAGCAGUGAAAUGCGUAGAUAUCAGGAGGAAUACCGAUGGCGAACGGCAGCCCCCCUGGGCUAACACUGACGCUCAGGCACGAAAGCGUGGGGAGCGAACAGG